UACAGAGGGGGCAAGCGUUAUUCGGAAUUAUUGGGCGUAAAGGGCGCGUAGGCGGCAUGGCAAGUGGAAGGUGAAAUCCCUCGGCUCAACCGAGGAACUGCCCUCCAAACUGCUUUGCUUGAGUCCGGGAGAGGUGAGUGGAAUUCCCAGUGUAGCGGUGAAAUGCGUAGAUAUUGGGAGGAACACCAGUGGCGAAGGCGGCUCACUGGACCGGAACUGACGCUGAGGCGCGAAAGCGUGGGGAGCAAACAGG
rnacentral:rRNA from 1 species